CCAACGGCCCUUUUUAGGGCCACCGAAAAUCCCGAUAAGGAGUAAAU
rfam:Aedes albopictus isolate Foshan contig43576, whole genome shotgun sequence.